AACGUAGGAGACGAACGUUAUCCGGGGUUACUGGGCGUAAAGGGCGUGCAGGCGGUCUGAUAAGUUCGGCGUGAAAUAUUCCGGCUUAACCGGGAUAGGUCGUCGGAGACUGUCGGACUAGAGGGUGAUAGAGGCGUGUGGAAUUCCGGGUGUAGUGGUGAAAUGCGUAGAGAUCCGGAGGAACACCAGUGGCGAAGGCGACACGCUGGGUCACACCUGACGCUAAAGCGCGACAGCAUGGGGAGCGAACGGG
rnacentral:rRNA from 1 species